CGACUCUAUUGUUUUGAUUUUUAUUUUGUUUUUGGUCUUUUUGCUUGAUGGUGGAAUUGGGAGUGGUUUUGUUUGUUGAUAAAAAUUAAAUGUCUAUUUGAACGACCCGGAUUAGUACCCGGUUAGAGAGAUUUGAUUAGUGCAGGAGUAUUUUGAAACUGAAAGAAUAUUGGCAGGCUCUUAAAUUAUCCUUGGAGGUUGAGUUGUAAUCGAGAACCCGCGUUUUCAUCUUUGGUUUUGGGUUUGUGUAUGAUCGUCUUUUAUAUACUUAAGGUUUUUAAGUUUAAUUUUUUUUUCUUGUUAAGAUAGAUAAAUAUCCAAUUUAUACUAAAGAUUUUCUUGACCUACAGUAAUGUAUUUUUGUGGAUGGUUGAAUGAGAUUUUGGCUUGAAAUUGUAAAAGACAGUAUGAGGCAUUUAUUUGUGCUUUUGAAAAGUAUUUAAGGGCGGCACAACACCCCCCUUAAAUUUAAC
rnacentral:rRNA from 1 species